rnacentral:misc_RNA from 1 species
GAUGAAGAACGCAGCGAAAUGCGAUAAGUAAUGUGAAUUGCAGAAUUCAGUGAAUCAUCGAAUCUUUGAACGCACAUUGCGCCCCUUGGUAUUCCGAGGGGCAUGCCUGUUCGAGCGUCAUUUCAACCCCUCAAGCUUCGGCUUGGUGUUGGGCCGCGCCGCUGCACCAGCAGCUGGCGGGCCUCAAAAUCAGUGGCGGUGCCGUCUCGGCUCUAAGCGUAGUAACAUCUCUCGCUCUGGAGACCUGGCGGUGGCUUGCCAGACAACCCCCAACUUUCUUUAAGGUUUGACCUCGGAUCAGGUAGGGAUACCCGCUGAACUUAAGCAUAUCAAUAAGCGGAGGA